CACCGCCCGUCACACCAUGGGAGUCAGUUGCUCCAGAAGUGGCUGUGCCAACCCGCAAGGGAGGCAGGUCCCUAAGGAGUGGCUGGUAACUGGGGUG
rnacentral:rRNA from 1 species